UACGUAGGGAGCAAGCGUUGUCCGGAAUCAUUGGGCGUAAAGCGCGCGUAGGCGGCUACCUAAGUCGGAUGUGAAAGCCCCUGGCUUAACCGGGGAAGUGCACCCGAAACUGAGUAGCUAGAGUGCAAAAGAGGGUCGCGGAAUUCCCAGUGUAGAGGUGAAAUUCGUAGAUAUUGGGAGGAACACCGGUGGCGAAGGCGGCGACCUGGGUUGACACUGACGCUGAGGCGCGAAAGCGUGGGGAGCAAACAGG
rnacentral:rRNA from 1 species